GAUGAAGAACGUAGCGAAAUGCGAUACGUAAUGUGAAUUGCAGAUCUCUCAGUGAACCAUCGAAUUUUUGAACGCACAUAGCGCCCGCCGGUCAUUCCGGCGGGCAUGCCUGUCCGAGCGUCAUUUCAACCCUCAAGCUCUGCUUGGUGUUGGGCCCUGCCCGCUGCGGCCGGCCCUAAAGACAGUGGCGGUGCCGCCUGGCCCUGAGCGUAGUACAUCUCUCGCUCCAGUGCCCGGUGGUAGCCUGCCAGAACCCCAACUCUCGUGGUUGACCUCGGAUCAGGUAGGGAUACCCGCUGAACUUAAGCAUAUCAAUAAGCGGAGGA
rnacentral:misc_RNA from 1 species